UUAUUACAUAUGCAUAACCAA
ensembl:piRNA 21ur-8207 ncRNA